rnacentral:rRNA from 1 species
GGGUUGUGAGGUUAAGCGACUAAGCGUACACGGUGGAUGCCCUGGCAGUCAGAGGCGAUGAAGGACGUGCUAAUCUGCGAUAAGCGUCGGUAAGGUGAUAUGAACCGUUAUAACCGGCGAUUUCCGAAUGGGGAAACCCAGUGUGAUUCGUCACACUAUCAUUAACUGAAUCCAUAGGUUAAUGAGGCGAACCGGGGGAACUGAAACAUCUAAGUACCCCGAGGAAAAGAAAUCAACCGAGAUUCCCCCAGUAGCGGCGAGCGAACGGGGAGCAGCCCAGAGCCUGAAUCAGUGUGUGUGUUAGUGGAAGCGUCUGGAAAGGCGCGCGAUACAGGGUGACAGCCCCGUACACAAAAAUGCACAUGCUGUGAGCUCGAUGAGUAGGGCGGGACACGUGGUAUCCUGUCUGAAUAUGGGGGGACCAUCCUCCAAGGCUAAAUACUCCUGACUGACCGAUAGUGAACCAGUACCGUGAGGGAAAGGCGAAAAGAACCCCGGCGAGGGGAGUGAAAAAGAACCUGAAACCGUGUACGUACAAGCAGUGGGAGCCUCUUUAUGGGGUGACUGCGUACCUUUUGUAUAAUGGGUCAGCGACUUAUAUUCUGUAGCAAGGUUAACCGAAUAGGGGAGCCGAAGGGAAACCGAGUCUUAACUGGGCGUUAAGUUGCAGGGUAUAGACCCGAAACCCGGUGAUCUAGCCAUGGGCAGGUUGAAGGUUGGGUAACACUAACUGGAGGACCGAACCGACUAAUGUUGAAAAAUUAGCGGAUGACUUGUGGCUGGGGGUGAAAGGCCAAUCAAACCGGGAGAUAGCUGGUUCUCCCCGAAAGCUAUUUAGGUAGCGCCUCGUGAAUUCAUCUCCGGGGGUAGAGCACUGUUUCGGCAAGGGGGUCAUCCCGACUUACCAACCCGAUGCAAACUGCGAAUACCGGAGAAUGUUAUCACGGGAGACACACGGCGGGUGCUAACGUCCGUCGUGAAGAGGGAAACAACCCAGACCGCCAGCUAAGGUCCCAAAGUCAUGGUUAAGUGGGAAACGAUGUGGGAAGGCCCAGACAGCCAGGAUGUUGGCUUAGAAGCAGCCAUCAUUUAAAGAAAGCGUAAUAGCUCACUGGUCGAGUCGGCCUGCGCGGAAGAUGUAACGGGGCUAAACCAUGCACCGAAGCUGCGGCAGCGACACUAUGUGUUGUUGGGUAGGGGAGCGUUCUGUAAGCCUGCGAAGGUGUACUGUGAGGUAUGCUGGAGGUAUCAGAAGUGCGAAUGCUGACAUAAGUAACGAUAAAGCGGGUGAAAAGCCCGCUCGCCGGAAGACCAAGGGUUCCUGUCCAACGUUAAUCGGGGCAGGGUGAGUCGACCCCUAAGGCGAGGCCGAAAGGCGUAGUCGAUGGGAAACAGGUUAAUAUUCCUGUACUUGGUGUUACUGCGAAGGGGGGACGGAGAAGGCUAUGUUGGCCGGGCGACGGUUGUCCCGGUUUAAGCGUGUAGGCUGGUUUUCCAGGCAAAUCCGGAAAAUCAAGGCUGAGGCGUGAUGACGAGGCACUACGGUGCUGAAGCAACAAAUGCCCUGCUUCCAGGAAAAGCCUCUAAGCAUCAGGUAACAUCAAAUCGUACCCCAAACCGACACAGGUGGUCAGGUAGAGAAUACCAAGGCGCUUGAGAGAACUCGGGUGAAGGAACUAGGCAAAAUGGUGCCGUAACUUCGGGAGAAGGCACGCUGAUACGUAGGUGAAGCGACUUGCUCAUGGAGCUGAAAUCAGUCGAAGAUACCAGCUGGCUGCAACUGUUUAUUAAAAACACAGCACUGUGCAAACACGAAAGUGGACGUAUACGGUGUGACGCCUGCCCGGUGCCGGAAGGUUAAUUGAUGGGGUUAGCGCAAGCGAAGCUCUUGAUCGAAGCCCCGGUAAACGGCGGCCGUAACUAUAACGGUCCUAAGGUAGCGAAAUUCCUUGUCGGGUAAGUUCCGACCUGCACGAAUGGCGUAAUGAUGGCCAGGCUGUCUCCACCCGAGACUCAGUGAAAUUGAACUCGCUGUGAAGAUGCAGUGUACCCGCGGCAAGACGGAAAGACCCCGUGAACCUUUACUAUAGCUUGACACUGAACAUUGAGCCUUGAUGUGUAGGAUAGGUGGGAGGCUUUGAAGUGUGGACGCCAGUCUGCAUGGAGCCGACCUUGAAAUACCACCCUUUAAUGUUUGAUGUUCUAACGUUGGCCCGUUAUCGGGGUUGCGGACAGUGUCUGGUGGGUAGUUUGACUGGGGCGGUCUCCUCCUAAAGAGUAACGGAGGAGCACGAAGGUUGGCUAAUCCUGGUCGGACAUCAGGAGGUUAGUGCAAUGGCAUAAGCCAGCUUGACUGCGAGCGUGACGGCGCGAGCAGGUGCGAAAGCAGGUCAUAGUGAUCCGGUGGUUCUGAAUGGAAGGGCCAUCGCUCAACGGAUAAAAGGUACUCCGGGGAUAACAGGCUGAUACCGCCCAAGAGUUCAUAUCGACGGCGGUGUUUGGCACCUCGAUGUCGGCUCAUCACAUCCUGGGGCUGAAGUAGGUCCCAAGGGUAUGGCUGUUCGCCAUUUAAAGUGGUACGCGAGCUGGGUUUAGAACGUCGUGAGACAGUUCGGUCCCUAUCUGCCGUGGGCGCUGGAGAACUGAGGGGGGCUGCUCCUAGUACGAGAGGACCGGAGUGGACGCAUCACUGGUGUUCGGGUUGUCAUGCCAAUGGCACUGCCCGGUAGCUAAAUGCGGAAGAGAUAAGUGCUGAAAGCAUCUAAGCACGAAACUUGCCCCGAGAUGAGUUCUCCCUGACUCCCUGAGAGUCCUGAAGGAACGUUGAAGACGACGACGUUGAUAGGCCGGGUGUGUAAGCGCAGCGAUGCGUUGAGCUAACCGGUACUAAUGAACCGUGAGGCUUAACCUUACAACGCCGAAG